GACGAAUGCUGGCGGCGUGCUUAACACAUGCAAGUCGAACGAUGAACCCGGAGCUUGCUCUGGGGGAUUAGUGGCGAAUGGGUGAGUAACACGUGGGCAAUCUGCCCCAGACACUGGGAUAACUUCGGGAAACCGAAGCUAAUACCGGAUACGACCACUUCAGGCAUCUGAUGGUGGUGGAAAGUUUUUCGGUCUGGGAUGGGCCCGCGGCCUAUCAGCUUGUUGGUGGGGUAAUGGCCUACCAAGGCGACGACGGGUAGCCGGCCUGAGAGGGCGACCGGCCACACUGGAACUGAGACACGGUCCAGACUCCUACGGGAGGCAGCAGUGGGGAAUAUUGCACAAUGGGCGCAAGCCUGAUGCAGCGACGCCGCGUGAGGGACGAAGGUCUUCGGAUUGUAAACCUCUUUCAGCAGGGACGAAGCGAAAGUGACUGUACCUGCAAAAGAAGCACCGGCUAACUACGUG
rnacentral:rRNA from 1 species